rnacentral:tRNA from 1 species
GGUCUCCGUAGCGCAGUGGAUAGAGCGUCAGCCUCCGAAGCUGAAGGUCGCAGGCUGGAAAACCUUUAAUGGUUUUUCAGCGCCGGAGUAUUGCCCACAGGCAAUAUGAGGCGGUGGCCAGCCCGAGAAGUGUAUCAACACUUCGAGAGGCGAGGCCGAAUCCUGCCGGACAGCCA